GGGGGUGUGGCUCAGUAGUAGAGCACCUGCUUUGCAUUCAAGAAGGUCCUUGGUUCAACCCCUGGCAUCACCA
rnacentral:tRNA from 1 species